CCAGCCCCAAGCAAGCCAGGAAGGAGGCAGCCAGAGUGGCCACCACAGUUCUCUGCAGCAGACCCUCUGCCCAGGCCAGCCAGCCCAGCCUUUGCCAGCUUGCAGAUCAUCCACAUCCACAGCUAUCAGAGUGGUGUCAUCAACGUAGCUGAUCAUCAACUUUAAAACCAUGCUCAUCUUCUUCCAAUCCAGCUUCUCUCAGUAUAUGUUCAGCAUAUAAAUUGAAUAAAGAAGGAGAAAGUAUACAGUCUUGUGGUAGCAAGUAUGAAUUGUAUCCUUUGCUAAGCAGGGUCCACCCUGGUUUGCAUUUGAAUGGGAGACUACACGUGUGAGCACUGUAAGAUAUUCCCCUUAGAGGAUGGGCAGCUGCAUGCUUGCAUGAAGAAGGUCCAAAGUUCCCUCCCUGGAAUCUCCAGAUAAGUCUGAGAGAGACUCCUGCCUGCAAUACUGCCACACAAUACUGUUUAGUCUACACCGUGUGGUGUGUAGACAAUACUGAGCUAGAGGGACCAAUAAUCCGACUUGGUAUAAGGCAGCUUCCUACGUCCCAAGGGGUGUGUCUCUCCUUUCAGGUUGUGUCCAUAGCCUGCCUAAGCCAGAUGAACACAAUCAGGAGGAAUAACAAACCACGGACAAGCAAGGCCGCAAGUCUGCCCCAAUGACAUGGAGGGCAUCGCUGGGCUCAGAAUAUAUCUCAGCAGCUGCAGGAUGUGUGAUGCUAGGCUGCGCACGGCAUGGGGCCUUAGUGUUCACAUGCCUGCAUCGAUCUCCAUGCGUACUAGAGACAAGAUGCAUCCACCCACUUAGAAAUUCAUCUUCCCUGAGGAAGGAGCUAAACCUUGAACUCUAGCAACUCCCACUACAAAUUUUAAGAAGGCAUUCCCAGAAGGUGAAAAACAGGGACAACAGUUUAGCUGGGUCAAGGACCAGAAAACAGGAAAUAUUCCUGGUAAAGAGGGGCAGUUGAAGCAUAUGAUCUUGAUCCUUUUGUAAAACAAGGACUAAUAUAUAUCCACAGAAUUGUGCAGCACAAUCUGAUGAAGCAUACCAUAUUUC